rnacentral:rRNA from 1 species
UACGAAGGGGGCGAGCGUUGUUCGGAAUUACUGGGCGUAAAGGGCGCGUAGGCGGCCCUGGAAGUCAGAUGUGAAAGCCCCGGGCUCAACCUGGGAAUUGCAUUUGAUACUCUGGGGCUGGAGUUCGGGAGAGGAGAGUGGAAUUCCCAGUGUAGAGGUGAAAUUCGUAGAUAUUCGCAAGAACACCAGUGGCGAAGGCGGCUCACUGGCCCGAUACUGACGCUGAGGCACGAAAGCGUGGGGAGCAAACAGG